rnacentral:lncRNA from 1 species
AAAAGAUGGCGUUUAGACCGAUUUCAAAUACUUACAUAGAAUAUAUUCAAUAUUUUUAAGAAAACAAAUAAUUAUAAACGUGAGCAUUAUUAAUAUACCAGCGUAGUAUGUUACAAAAUCUAAAUAGGUUUCUUACGAUUGUAUUAUAUUAACACCCCUCGUAUAACACUAAGCUUCUUCCAAUUUGCAGACAUUCAACUUUUGAUACAAAGAACUUGACAUUGCGUAACAAACAUUUAACAGAAAAAAAA